rnacentral:rRNA from 1 species
UACGUAGGGGCUAGCGUUGUCCGGAAUCAUUGGGCGUAAAGAGCGUGUAGGCGGCCCGGUAAGUCCGCUGUGAAAGUCGGGGGCUCAACCCUCGAAAUGCCGGUGGAUACUGUCGGGCUAGAGUGCGGAAGAGGCGGAGUGGAAUUCCUGGUGUAGCGGUGAAAAUGCGCAGAUAUCAGGAGGAACACCGGUGGCGAAGGCGGGACUCUGGGCCG